UACGUAGGGUGCGAGCGUUAAUCGGAAUUACUGGGCGUAAAGCGUGCGCAGGCGGCUUUGCAAGACAGAUGUGAAAUCCCCGGGCUCAACCUGGGAACUGCAUUUGUGACUGCAAGGCUAGAGUACGGCAGAGGGGGAUGGAAUUCCGCGUGUAGCAGUGAAAUGCGUAGAUAUGCGGAGGAGCACCAAUGGCGAAGGCAAUCCCCUGGGCCCGUACUGACGCUCAUGCACGAAAGCGUGGGGAGCAAACAGG
rnacentral:rRNA from 1 species